rnacentral:lncRNA from 1 species
UCCACAUUGUGCCAAAUGUUAAUCCUCUGUGGCCAUGUCGGGUCUGUUGGUGGAGAUGCCAAACACGGAAGACAGUGAAGUGGUGGCUCAGCGUUCUCCAAAGGAAUGAGCAAGCAGAUGAGGCAAAGCACACUCUGAAGAGUGACAACUAUAGCUUCCAUAAGAAAGUUUUGGAGGCUCCUAAAAAUGACAGAUAAAUGAACUAACCUAAUCAGCAAAAUUAAACUAUAGGAAAGAGUAUGGACCUUGAAAAGACAGCUUAGCCAGCUUGACGACUAAAGCAACACCUUUCCAAGCAACAUUGGAAAUUUGACCUCCUCAUCAGAAAAAUGUGUAUAGACAUCUCUGGAGUCAGGCUACCCCAUAUGAAGCUUGGAUUUUGGCUUCACUGUGGCUGCAGGUAUUUGAGGAUGCAAUUAGCUGAACUAAUCUCACUCAAAUUCCUAAGUGCGACUUCUUACGUGGUUUUCAUCUAGCCGUUCUAUCUAUCCCAACAAGAAUCUGUUGCUAGACCUCAAAAACACUGAGUGCUGUCAGGAAAAAAUGUACAAGGCACCACAAAGAUUAUGGGGCAUCUACUAUGGAAAACCUAGACAUUGUCUAGAGCAUUGUUUGUGGUUAUCUCUGUCUUUCAUUGCCUUUGAUCUAUUUUUCAACUCUCCACAUUGUAGAAAAUGACUGAUAAUUCAAAUGAUUCUUUUCCAUAAAAAUGGAAGUGAACAAUGUUCGGUGGGAUGCAAUGGACUAAUUUUGUAGGUAUUUAUAAAUUUAUUUUAACAUUUUGUAUUACCUAUGUAUAUAUGUGAUUCUCUGAAUUCUCUUUUGAACUGAUCAUAACAUCUUACUGGAUCUCAUUAAUUAAUGCAUUAAAG